CUGUGGCACUCACGUCGGUAGCCACGAAGUGCUUUGAAAGGAUGGUCAUGACUCACAUCAACAGCAUCCUGACUGGAGGUCUUUGAAGCUGAUCUGUAGUGACUGGAGGUCUAUGUAACUGAUCUGUAGUGACUGGAGGUCUAUGUAACUGAUCUGUAGUGACUAGAGGUCCAUGUAACUGAUCUGUAGUGACUGGAGGUCUAUGUAACUGAUAUGUAGUGACUAGAGGUCCAUGUAACUGACCUGUAGUGACUGGAGGUCUAUGUAACUGAUAUGUAGUGACUAGAGGUCUAUGUAACUGAUCUGUAGUGACUGGAGGUCUAUGUAACUGAUAUGUAGUGACUAGAGGUCUCUGUAACUGAUCUGUAGUGACUGGAGGUCUAUGUAACUGAUAUGUAGUGACUAGAGGUCUCUGUAACUGAUCUGUAGUGACUUGAGGUCUAUGUAACUGAUCUGUAGUGACUAGAGAGACUGGAGGUCUAUGUAACUGAUCUGUAGUGACUAGAGGUCUUUGUAACUGAUAUGUAGUGACUAGAGGUCUAUGUAACUGAUCUGUAAUGACUGGAGGUCUUUGUAACUGAUCCGCAGUGACUGGAGGUCUAUGUAACUGAUCUGUAGUGACUAGAGGUCUAUGUAACUGAUCUGUAGUGACUGGAGGUCUAUGUAACUGAUCUGUAGUGACUGGAGGUCUAUGUAACUGAUCUGUAGUGACUAGUGACUGGAGGUCUAUGUAACUAAUCUGUAGUGACUGGAGGUCUAUGUAACUGAUCUGUAGUGACUAGUGACUGGAGGUCUAUGUAACUGAUCCGCAGUGACUGGAGGUCUAUGUAACUGAUCUGUAGUGACUAGUGACUGGAGGUCUAUGUAACUAAUCUGUAGUGACUGGAGGUCUAUGUAACUGAUCUGUAGUGACUGGAGGUCUAUGUAACUGAUCCGCAGUGACUGGAGGUCUAUGUAACUGAUCUGUAGUGACUGGAGGUCUUUGUAACUGAUCUGUAGUGACUGGAGGUCUAUGUAACUGAUCUGUAGUGACUAGAGUGACUAGAGGUCUUUGUAACUGAUCUGUAAUGACUGGAGGUCUUUGUAACUGAUCUGUAAUGACUGGAGGUCUAUGUAGCUGAUCUGUAGUGACUAGAGUGACUAGAGGUCUAUGUAACUGAUCUGUAGUGACUAGUGACUCGAGGUCUAUGUAACUGAUCUGUAGUGACUAGUGACUGGAGGUCUAUGUAACUGAUCUGUAGUGACUAGAGUGACUGGAGGUCUAUGUAACUGAUCUGUAGUGACGAGAGGUCUAUGUAACUGAUAUGUAGUGACUUGAGGUCUAUGUAACUGAUCUGUAAUGACUGUAGGUCUUUGUAACUGAUCUGUAAUGACUGGAGGUCUAUGUAACUGAUAUGUAAUGACUGGAGGUCUAUGUAACUGAUAUGUAAUGACUGGAGGUCUAUGUAACUGAUCUGUAAUGACUGUAGGUCUUUGUAACUGAUCUGUAAUGACUGGAGGUCAAUGUAACUGAUAUGUAAUGACUGGAGGUCUUUGUAACUGAUCUGUAGUGACUAGAGUGACUAGAGGUCUAUGUAACUGAUCUGUAAUGACUGGAGGUCUAUGUAACUGAUCUGUAGUGACUAGAGUGACUAGAGGUCUAUGUAACUGAUCUGUAAUGACUGGAGGUCUUUGUAACUGAUCUGUAGUGACUGGAGGUCUAUGUAACUGAUCUAUAGUGACUAGUGAGACUGGAGGGCUAUGUAACUGAUCUGUAGUGACUAGUGAGACUGGAGGUCUAUGUAACUGAUCUGUAGUGACUAGUGAGACUGGAGGUCUAUGCAACUGGUCUGUAGUGACUAGUGAGACUGGAGGUCUAUGUAACUGAUCUGUAGUGACUAGUGAGACUGGAGGUCUAUGUAACUGAUCUGUAGUGACUAGUGAGACUGGAGGUCUAUGUAACUGAUCUGUAGUGACUAGUGAGACUGGAGGUCUAUGUAACUGAUCUGUAGUGACUAGUGACUGGAGGUCUAUGUAACUGAUCUGUAGUGACUAGUGAGACUGGAGGUCUAUGUAACUGAUCUGUAGUGACUAGUGAGACUGGAGGUCUAUGUAACUGAUCUGUAGUGACUAGUUACUGGAGGUCUAUGUAACUGAUCUGUAGUGACUAGUGAGACUGGAGGUCUAUGUAACUGAUCUGUAGUGACUAGUUACUGGAGGUCUAUGUAACUGAUCUGUAGUGACUAGUGAGACUGGAGGUCUAUGUAACUGAUCUGUAGUGACUAGUGACUGGAGGUCUAUGUAACUGAUCUGUAGUGACUAGUGACUGGAGGUCUAUGUAACUGAUCUGUAGUGACUAGUGACUGGAGGUCUAUGUAACUGAUCUGUAGUGACUAGUGACUGGAGGUCUAUGUAACUGAUCUGUAGUGACUAGUGAGACUGGAGGUCUAUGUAACUGAUCUGUAGUGACUAGUGACUGGAGGUCUAUGUAACUGAUCUGUAGUGACUAGUGACUGGAGGUCUAUGCAACUGAGCUGUAGUGACAAGAUGGUGGAACGGACUCAG